rnacentral:rRNA from 1 species
GACAGAGGUGCCGAGCGUUAGGCGGAAUCACUGGGCUUAAAGCGUGUGUAGGCGGGUCGUUAAGUACCUUGUGAAAUCCCACGGCUCAACCGUGGAACUGCUCGGUAUACUGGCGAUCUUGAGCCACUUAGGGGCUACCGGAACAAAUGGUGGAGCGGUGAAAUGCGUAGAUAUCAUUUGGAACGCCAAUGGUGAAAACAGGUAGCUGGGAGUGUGCUGACGCUGAGACACGAAAGCCAGGGGAGCGAACGGG